UUUUUUUAAAUCGCAACAAUCGCUCUUUUGGCACAUCACUAUGGCGCUGUUGUGUUCGAUAGUUAACACUACAUACUCUUUUUAAGUGCUGUAAAACUGAAAAACUGUGUUUGAAAAGUUGGAAAAAGAUGCUGCCAAAGUUGUAAGGAAAGUGUGGAGGAUGGUAACCAGUUCUUGAUGGUGGUGCUUGAACCGGAAUUUUGUGAUAUAAGGACUUACAGAAGGAACCUCUAUCACAUUAUGAAAAAAACAAGGACAAGGAUUAUAAGGAUAUUUGUUAACUAAACCAAUUAGCUUAGUUUUCAGGGAAAUAUUUUAGUUUCAACAAUCAGGAACCACUUAUAAUAGGUGUCCACAGCUGGAAUUUAAAAAGAUCUGGCAUUCUUCUCAAAAAAUAAACCAAAAUUAAAGAAGCUCUAAAAGAUAUAGAAAAAAAUCUUUUUAGACCUCAUUUUGUGGAAAAGAACAUUACCUUUCUGCUCCAGAGCUUCAAAUUUCAGUUCUAAAAACUUGACAAACUAAAUUAAAACUUUUAUAAAGACAGAAAGUAAAAAGACUUUGUUGCUGUUACUAUGAAGAGGGCUCACGAACAACCAGUCACUGGAAUAAAUAUCAAUUUCUGUGACGUGACCGCAUCACACAUCCCUGUCAGUCAGUCAGUGAGUCUUUCUUAUCGUCACCGCAAGUCGGCCUUCCAAUCAGCGACGACCACUACUACUGCCAGAGUGACCGAAAGGGAGUGCAUCCAUCGUAGUUAUUGUUGGCACGUAAAAAUAAAAAAUACACAAUAUACUCGCCAUAUAGUAUAAACAAAAAAAAAAAGAAGAAAAAAAUCAUUGCAGUGGCUCUCCAUGACGGCGGACGUGUCAUUAUUAGAACGGCAAUGAAUAAACAAAGAAAUAAAAAGCAAAAAAAUAAAUCUAUUUCACAUGCGACUUGCAGAAGGCGCCAGAAGAUUCUACAGAUGGGGGGUGGGGGGUAGCGAGAGGGGGAAGAACGUCUUCUCAAGCUCGUAAACAAAAACAAAAAAAUCUAUAACUUUUGGCUGUUAAAAAAAAGGUUAAAUUAUAAGUUUCUCAAGUUUUUUUAGGUGGAGAAUAAUAUUUUUUUAAUAAAUGUGUUAAUUUUGAAUAAAUUUUUGUUAAUAAAUAAUAUUAAAAAUACUUAAAACUGUAUUUAAUGAGUUUUAAUAAGUUUCAUAUUCAUUUUUCAAUUAAUUUUUUAAAAUUUUGAAUUUUUUAGAAUUUAAAUAUUUAUUCUGUAAAAUUUUAUGUUUUUAUUUUAUUUUCUUAAAAAAUAAAUUGAUUUUUUUUCAAUUUCUAUUUAAAGUUUAAGAAUUUCAAUCAUUAAAUAUUUUAUAAAAAAUUGUAUUUAAAAAUUUGUUAUUUUUUCCAAAAAAGUUUAUAAAAUUUACAAAAUCCUAAAAUUAAUAUAAACAUAAGCUACAAAUGUAAAAUUAUAUAUCGUAGGAAGUAUAAAAAAUAUUAAGAAAUAUAAAACAAUUUAAAUGGAAGACUGAAAAUUGUCAAUUUCCAAAAUGCCUAAAGAAAAAAUCUAAAAAAUAUUCAAUUUAAGAAAAAGAUAAAAUAAUAAAAAAAAGAAGAACCUCAAAAAUAAACUAUUUUCAGCCAUAAAAAAAUGUAUAAAAAAAUAUACUUGUCAGAAAAAUAUAUAUUAAUUUUUUAUAAUUAAAAAUUUUAUAAUUUCACCAUCUUCAUCUCACUCUCACUUUCUCUCACUCCCUCGCACCCCAGCACAACACAUCGCCCCGUCUCUGUCUAUUGCAGAUAUUAUUGAAGAAAGCGCGCAUUCGAGUCGAAAUUUAAUUUCAACAUAUUUAUUGAUGUAAUUCAAAAAAUUAAAUAUAAGUUAUGUUUAUAAUUAUUACUGCUUACUAUGCAAAAUUACUUUGCAGUUUUGCGUUCUGUGUUUUUCUUGUUUUUUGGGUUUUUUUUGUUGUUUUCUUCAUGUUUUUGUGUUUUUUGUUUCUUUUUCCUUUUUCUUCCUCGAUUGUAAUUUUAAUUAUUAUUUAUUUAUUUAUUUAUUAUUUGUUUUGCAUUAUUCUUGUUGCUUUUGUUUCUGGUUUUGUUUUUUUAUUUUUGUAUUUUAUUUAUUUUUCCCCCAUCUCAGUUGGCUUUUUGCAUUUGUUUUUUUUUUUUAACAUUAUUCUUCAUGCUUUUUGAGUGUUUUUUGUUUCUAUUUAUUUUUAUUAAUUUUUAUUUUCGUUUCUUAUUUAUUUCCAAUUUGAAUUAGUGGUAGAGCCCUUCUGGUGUCUCUCUCUCUCUCUCUUUCUCUCUUGAUCGAAAUUAAGCAUUUUAUUCGAUCGGAUGUGAAUCAAAUGGGAUAUAUGCAUACAUAUAUAUAUGGUGUUUAUUCGCUUAUAUAUAUACAUACAUAUAUACUAUAUAUACCCUCAUACAUCAUACAUAUCAUACAUAUAUAUAUGUAUUUAUAUAUAUAUAUAUUUUAGUGUUACUUCUGUUACUCCUGCCUCCUCAUUAUCCUUUUUUUUCUUGUUUUUUUGUUUUUACUUAUUCUCCUUAUCAUCAUUACCGUUAUUAUUUCUUGUAAUUUAUUAGGCUAAGUUUUUUUUUUAAUUUUUUUUCCUUCUUGUUUCAUCUUAAAUUUUUUAUUUUAUAUUUUUUUUGUUUACUUUUUGUGGACAAUGAUGCUUUGAGAGACUGUGUGUGUGUGUGGGUGAGUGUGUGUGUGGGUGAGUGUGUGUGGGUGGUGGGUGGUGGGUGGUCGAGUGGGCGAGUAUGCUUUAAGUGAGCGAGUGUAUUGGGUUCGAGGUGUGAAUUGAAAUUU